GUGGCGCAACGGUAGCGCGUCUGACUCCAGAUCAGAAGGUUGCGUGUUCAAAUCACGUCGGGGUCACGAAUAAUAGUGGUUAUUUUUUUUUUUUUUAAUACUAAUAUGAAUUUUAAUUAGUGCAUAAGGAUGAAAGUUAUUUGUGAUCAGUUAUUUCACGCGAUUCGUGGAUGUAUGUAGUGUUGUUAUUGGAAAUUUAACAUUCAAAAUGAUUCUUCCAGUGACAUCAACCAACUGAGCAUACACACCAUUCAUAACCAUCAUAACCAUCAGGUCAAACCGCAAACAAAAACACGGCACCAACACUAAGCCCCGCGACUCUCACUCUUAAUGAGAGUAAUGAGCGAAAUGAGCGAAAUUAACACACACUACCGCGAAAGCAUCAUCAGCGAUCAUCACCGGAAUCACCAGCAUCGUCUUCGUCUUCCGUAUCGCAUCUACGGUAUCGCAUCCUCGGCAUGCCGACAGAAGGAUGUAAUUAGUGUCGCCAUCCCCUCAGGCGCAGGGAGAGAGGAAAAACAGCUGACUACCACUACUCCACCAAAACACUCAACCGAUCCCGUCGAUAGCUGCGGCUGCCGCUGCGGUUGCUGCAAGGAUCCAUCCCCCCAUUAGCGAAAAAAACGUCUGUCUAAACGGGCGAACGAUGAACGAAUGAACGUCGCGACGUUUUUGCGCGUCUUGAUGCUAUCGAAAGCAUCAUUCUUCUACGCUAUACUACUCGCGAAUGCUGCCGCUACGUUUGACGUUUUUUUUUGGUCAUUUUUCCUAACUUGCAGCAAAUUUCCUAACCAACCCAGCUCAGAGAGGGUAUUUCCUCCUUCAACGACGGAAUCCUUAGCACUUCUCCUGCGCUCUCGACGCCAGCGACGACAUCGACAACAACGGGAGCAGAACUGUGCCGUACCCAUAUAUCCUAAAACUGCAUGGAAGAAAUCUAUCCCUACAACCACCAAGACCAAGACCAACGAGCAAGACCACGGCAACGGCAACGAUGGCGACGAUGGUUGGAAAUGAUAUAUACAUAGAGAGCAAGAGAGUUGUAGCUGCUCUUGUGUAAAUAAAGGGAUUUUCCUUCCACGAGAAAACCACCCUCGCCCACUACCAAACCAAACCAGUUCCCGAACACGGGGUGCAGGAGAGAAACAAGUCAAAGUCACACACUGCUGUGAGCAGCGUUGCCAAUGUUCCAGUUUGAACUGUAUUCUUCCAGUUUUUUUCCCUCGAUCCAGUCAAACAGUUAAAGCCUAAAAUUUUCCACUGUUUUAUAAUAUUGGUCAGUUUUAUCCAGUUUUUUUUAUUUGU